AUUGAACGCUGGCGGCAGGCCUAACACAUGCCAGUCGAACGGUAACAGGAAGAAGCUUGCUUCUUUGCUGACGAGUGGCGGACGGGUGAGUAAUGUCUGGGAAACUGCCUGAUGGAGGGGGAUAACUACUGGAAACGGUAGCUAAUACCGCAUAACAUCGCAAGACCAAAAAGGGGGACCUUCGGGCCUCUUGCCAUCGGAUGUGCCCAGAUGGGAUUAGCUAGUAGGUGGGGUAACGGCUCACCUAGGCGACGAUCCCUAGCUGGUCUGAGAGGAUGACCAGCCACACUGGAACUGAGACACGGUCCAGACUCCUACGGGAGGCAGCAGUGGGGAAUAUUGCACAAUGGGCGCAAGCCUGAUGCAGCCAUGCCGCGUGUAUGAAGAAGGCCUUCGGGUUGUAAAGUACUUUCAGCGGGGAGGAAGGGAGUAAAGUUAAUACCUUUGCUCAUUGACGUUACCCGCAGAAGAAGCACCGGCUAACUCCGUG
rnacentral:rRNA from 1 species